UUUUUAUGAAAACACUUAUGGGAAAUGUAAACAAACCAAAAUAUAAUUAUCCAUUAAAGUAGUAAUAAAUAUGUGAACAUAACCAAAUUAUGCUAUUGCCUGCAUUUUGUUAUACUACAAUAUACCAGUGUUGCAUUUUUGUAUGUUUUUGUACUUACAUAUUAUUUGUACUUUAUUUUAUUUAUUCAUUUGUAUCAUUGUCUUGCUAUGAAAUAGCUUUGAAGCCAAACGCAAAUGAAAGUGUGGUUACACUGACCAUCUGACUACAUUUAAAUAGGCCAUUAGUUGUAUUUGAUGCCAAUUUCCAGGUAAAAGUUGUAAGAUGAUUGCAGCCAACUACCUGUAAACUGCCUUUUAUCUUAUCCCACACAAUGUGCCAGCUUAUUUAUUUGGUCA